UGAAGUCUUAGGCUGAAAUGCCACAAAAGGGUUUGUAAUUCAAUUUCAUGUAGUCUAAAAUCUGACCACAGCUUUACAUAUUUAUUUAAUUAUUUGUUUGUUUGUUUGUUUUAUUUUUUACACUGCAGUAGUCCCUGAAGCUUCAUUCAAGUCUGGACCCAUUCUCAAGUUCUUUUUCCCAAACUGUGGCCCAGAUCAUACCCUUAAAUUCUGCAGAUGCACAGAGAAAAGCAAGAAGAGAACUAUCAGACACAGCAGAAGUCUGUGCUUUGCUGUGAAGAAGCUGUUUUCACGGCCCUGUGCUCUGCUGAGCUGAGAUGGGUGGAUACUGUAAGGCUGAUGAACAAGGACUGCUCUUAGAGCAUUUUGAGACAAAUGCUCUAAUUGCUGUGAGAGUUCAACAUUAGAGUCCACAGAGUGAUUUUGUUACAUGCCAACUACAUUCUCUUCAGAGAUGAACCUGGAAGCUCUGCUCCAGUUGUGCCUCCAACAUGCACCAGCACCAAUGAGGAUAUAAAGACCCGAGCCAGUGACUGGUCUUUCAGACAGCUUCAAACCACCUUUGUGGUGGCUUUCAGAUCAGAAGACCAAGCUACAACUUCCUCAAAAUUCCUGGACUACUUAUAUGGAAAAGACAUAGGAACUCUGUUAUAACAGCUCUCAUAAACAUUCAUUCUUGAGUUCAUACCAAAGCAUCUGCUACAUCACAAAUUGCUGAACAAGCUUAUUGGUUACCUAAAGCCAAAAACUGGACUCCGUGCAAGUGACUGAAAGCAGCAGACACCUAAAGUUCUGCUUCAGGACACAUCAGAAGCCUCCUGGUCCUGAUAGUGGCAUCCAGAAAGACAACUGGAUUGAUACAUGAGCACAAGCCCAUCCACACACCAAAGCUCACUCCUGGCAGAUGUCCUCUGAACAUGCCUGCUUCAUGGAGAUUCAUGCAAGGCACAAAGAAAGGAAGAGGUCUCAGGGGUGGAGACCCCUAAGUGUGCAAAAAAAAAAAAAAAAAAAAUUUUAAGGCAUAAGUCCCUGCAGAAUCAUUACAGUGAGGAGUCAGGAGUCGAAACAGGGAAUAGAAACAGUGGUUAGGAGGAAGCUCUGAAGAUCUCUUGUCCCACCUCCCAUGUGAAUU
rnacentral:lncRNA from 1 species